rnacentral:rRNA from 1 species
CCUACGGGAGGCAGCAGUGAGGAAUAUUGGUCAAUGGGCGCGAGCCUGAACCAGCCAAGCAGCGUGAAGGAUGACUGCCCUACGGGUUGUAAACUUCUUUUAUAAGAGAAUAAAGUGAGGCACGUGUGCCUUUCUGCAUGUACUUGAAGAAUAAGCAUCGGCUAACUCCGUGCCAGCAGCCGCGGUAAUACGGCGGAUCCGAGCGUUAUCCGGAUUUAUUUGGUUUAAAGGGCGCGUAGAGGGGUUGUUAAGUCAGUUGUGAAAGUUUGGGGCUCAACCGUAGAAUUGCAGUUGAUACUGGCCGCCUUGAGUGCAGUUGAGGUAGGCGGAAUUCGUGGUGUAGCGGUGAAAUGCUUAGAUAUCACGAAGAACCCCGAUUGCGAAGGCAGCGUACUGAACUGCCACUGACGCUGAUGCUCGAAAGUGUGGGGAUCAAACAGGAUUAGAUACCCCAGUAGUC